rnacentral:tRNA from 1 species
GCUCCCUUAGCUCAGCUGGAUAGAGCGCCUGGCUACGAACCAGGAGGUCGGAGGUUCGAAUCCUUCAGGGAGCGCCA